UACGAAGGGGGGCUAGCGUUGUUCGGAAUUACUGGGCGUAAAGCGCACGUAGGCGGACAUUUAAGUCAGGGGGUGAAAUCCCAGAGCUCAACUCUGGAACUGCCUUUUGAUACUGGGUGUCUUGAGUAUGGAAGAGGUGAGUGGAAUUCCGAGUGUAGAGGUGAAAAUUCGUAGAUAUCUGGAGGAACACCGGUGGCGAAGGCGACAUCCUGGACCGGUAUUGACGCUGAGGCGCGAAAGC
rnacentral:rRNA from 1 species